CUGAUGUUAUCCUUUCUGCGUAGGCUGUUCAUCAGUCUUUCUUCUGGCUAGAGAGAGAGAGAGAGAGAGUCUUUCUCUCUCCUGGGUGCUGAUGGAGAGUGCCAUAAGAGAAUCGGUGAAGCUGCCAGCAUGAUCUGGCUGUAUGGGCUUGGUCGGUGGGUUCGAACCCUGGCCGCCCGGCCAUGCUAGGUCAUGCUCCGGCAGCCUCACCUCUUCUCUUGUACUGGCAAAAAAUGAAACUCAGAAUUCUGUUUGGAGUGCGUGCUGCAAAAUGGUGCUCACCUCCAAACCCUAACCUCUGUGGAACUUUUCCCUUUUCCUUGGCACGCUUGCAUGGUUAUGCCUGUCUUUCCAAUAGCAAGAAGGCAUCAUGUCAGUUUUUAUGCAUAUGAAGGCAUGUUAAACAUGAUUUUUAUCGUUUUUAGUCCUCUUUUCUUUUUGCAUGUGUUACUGUUUUCAAGAGAAUGGAAGUUUUAUUUUAAGAAUCAACCGAGAAAAGAUGCGUCUUUUUUUCAACUUUUGCUCGCAUGCGUGGAUGAAUAAAGCUAGUCUUAAGCAAACAAGGAAAAGGCGCUACGAGAGAGAAGAAAAACCCUAGCCGCUGAGGGCCGGCCUAUGAUCUCUCUUUUUCUGGUUCUUUUUUGUUUUCAAAAUGUUGUGAUUGGAUGAGCUAUUUCUGUGGCAGAUUCUGUAAGCAUCGUAAAUGGUUCAAAGUGUGAGAAGGCCUAUGAUGUUGUACGAGAUUGAGCAUGAAGCAGCCCUAUUUCUGUUAGGCCUGUCAGGUUUGGCUGCUCUGAGUCUUGAAUGGCCAUGAGAUUUGAUGUCUCGAAACACCAUUUUAAUAAUAAUAAUUAUUAUUAUUUUAAAAUGGUAGUUAAUAUAACACCAUCAUUGAGUGAGAGAAGAUCAAGUACUAAUCCACCUUCAAAGAUGCAAUACAGAAGCUCUUUAUGAGUGUUCUUUCAUCAGUUUUCAUUAGCGCUGGCUCUCUUCAAUUACGUGAUGUUUUGGUUGAUUUUCGAAAGGAAACUCAGUCCCGGUAGCAUUUUGUUGGUAGAUAUAUCAAGAUCGAUUUUGGUGUGUCCUUCCUUCGGAAAGAGAAGGAAGUAACCUGACUGCAUUAAUAAACGAAUGCCUUCUGCGAAUGCAAGCUUCUUUGCUUUCGUGAUGAGUUUCUGCCAUUUCUUUUGUUCCAUCAGCAUUUUUUGUGAACUAAGAGUAUAAAUCCACAGAGAGAGAGAGAGAGCAAAUUGAGAUGGUGUAGACUUUCUGCUAGUUGCUUAGCUCCAGGAGCAUUUUUUAUGAUCUAAGAGUGCAAAUCCAGAGUGAGAGAGAGAGAGAGAGUAAAAUGAGAAGGUGUAAAGUAAAAGGGACCCGGUUAUAGACGACCACAUCCAGCAAAAAUUUCAUGGUUAUACAGAGAGAGAGAGAGAGAGAGAGAGAGAGAGAGAUGUUGCUCAUGCAAAUAUCAUAAUUUCAUGUAUGUGAAUAUUUAUAUCAUGAUCAUAUGACAAACUUAAAACACAUGGAACUCAUUCAUGGUAUCAACAUGCACAAACAUCGGUACAUCUUAAAUGUAUGUAUGACCUCAAGUAUAUAUGCAAGCCGACCUCAAAUGACAAGCAGAAAAGAGAAAAUUACGGAGGCAACAAAAAUAUAUGUUUUUUAGAUUUCUCUUGUUUAGGUAGGAUGAAAAAUUCCUUUGGAGUCUCACAGCAUAUUGCUUAUCAAUUGACAAUUUGCUGAUAGCUGUGAUUGAAAUUGAACUGAGAUUUGGAUGGCUGGAUGACACCAGGGAGAAAUCCUGCUUGAUGCACGUAAUUUGUUGUGUUUAAUCGGGUCUGCCUGUGAUGGCGUUGUUUAGGGGGGGAGAUGAAUAUAGCUUGGAGGAUUUUACU